AUUGAACGCUGGCGGCAGGCCUAACACAUGCAAGUCGGACGGUAGCACAGAGGAGCUUGCUCCUCGGGUGACGAGUGGCGGACGGGUGAGUAAUGUCUGGGGAUCUGCCCGAUAGAGGGGGAUAACCACUGGAAACGGUGGCUAAUACCGCAUAACGUCGCAAGACCAGAGAGGGGGACCUUCGGGCCUCUCACUAUCGGAUGAACCCAGAUGGGAUUAGCUAGUAGGCGGGGUAACGGCCCACCUAGGAGACGAUCCCUAGCUGGUAUGGGAGGAUGACAAGCCACACUGGAACUGAGACACGGUCCAGACUCCUACGGGAGGCAGCAGUGGGGAAUAUUGCACAAUGGGCACAAGCCUGAUGCAGCCAUGCCGCGUGUAUGAAGAAGGCCUUCGGGUUGUAAAGUACUUUCAGCGGGGAGGAAGGCGAUAAGGUUAAUAACCUUGUCGAUUGACGUUACCCGCAGAAGAAGCACCGGCUAACUCCGUGCCAGCAGCCGCCGUAA
rnacentral:rRNA from 1 species